GAAAUACUCCCUCCAUCCCAAAAUUCUUGUCUUAGAUUUGUCUAAAUACGGAUGUAUCUAGUCACGUUUUUCUAUUAGAUACAUCCGUAUAUAGAAUAAUCUAAGACAAGAAUUUUGGGACGGAGGGAGUAUAAG
rfam:Triticum aestivum genome assembly, contig: Triticum_aestivum_CS42_TGACv1_scaffold_569006_7AS